UACGUAGGGGGCAAGCGUUGUCCGGAAUCAUUGGGCGUAAAGAGCGUGUAGGCGGCCUGCAUAGUCUGGUGUGAAAUCUCGGGGCUCAACCCCGAGCUGUCACUGGAUACUGGCAGGCUUGAGUCUGGAAGAGGAGUGUGGAAUUCCUGGUGUAGCGGUGGAAUGCGCAGAUAUCAGGAGGAACACCAAUUGCGAAGGCAGCUUACUACACAGUGAUUGACACUGAGGCACGAAAGCGUGGGGAUCAAACAGG
rnacentral:rRNA from 1 species